rnacentral:rRNA from 1 species
AGCGUACACGGUGGAUGCCCUGGCAGUCAGAGGCGAUGAAGGACGUGCUAAUCUGCGAAAAGCGUCGGUAAGGUGAUAUGAACCGUUAUAACCGGCGAUGUCCGAAUGGGGAAACCCAGUGCAAUUCGUUGCACUAUCGUUAACUGAAUACAUAGGUUAACGAGGCGAACCGGGGGAACUGAAACAUCUAAGUACCCCGAGGAAAAGAAAUCAACCGAGAUUCCCCCAGUAGCGGCGAGCGAACGGGGAGCAGCCCAGAGUCUGAAUCAGCUUGUGUGUUAGUGGAACGGUCUGGAAAGUCCGACGGUACAGGGUGAUAGUCCCGUACACCAAAAUGCACAGGCUGUGAACUCGAAGAGUAGGGCGGGACACGUGGUAUCCUGUCUGAAUAUGGGGGGACCAUCCUCCAAGGCUAAAUACUCCUGACUGACCGAUAGUGAACCAGUACCGUGAGGGAAAGGCGAAAAGAACCCCGGCGAGGGGAGUGAAAAAGAACCUGAAACCGUGUACGUACAAGCAGUGGGAGCACCUUCGGGUGUGACUGCGUACCUUUUGUAUAAUGGGUCAGCGACUUAUAUUCUGUAGCAAGGUUAACCGUAUAGGGGAGCCGCAGGGAAACCGAGUCUUAACUGGGCGUUAAGUUGCAGGGUAUAGACCCGAAACCCGGUGAUCUAGCCAUGGGCAGGUUGAAGGUUGGGUAACACUAACUGGAGGACCGAACCGACUAAUGUUGAAAAAUUAGCGGAUGACUUGUGGCUGGGGGUGAAAGGCCAAUCAAACCGGGAGAUAGCUGGUUCUCCCCGAAAGCUAUUUAGGUAGCGCCUCGUGAAUUCAUCUUCGGGGGUAGAGCACUGUUUCGGCUAGGGGGUCAUCCCGACUUACCAACCCGAUGCAAACUACGAAUACCGAAGAAUGUUAUCACGGGAGACACACGGCGGGUGCUAACGUCCGUCGUGAAGAGGGAAACAACCCAGACCGCCAGCUAAGGUCCCAAAGUCAUGGUUAAGUGGGAAACGAUGUGGGAAGGCACAGACAGCCAGGAUGUUGGCUUAGAAGCAGCCAUCAUUUAAAGAAAGCGUAAUAGCUCACUGGUCGAGUCGGCCUGCGCGGAAGAUGUAACGGGGCUAAACCAUGCACCGAAGCUGCGGCAGCGACACUAUGUGUUGUUGGGUAGGGGAGCGUUCUGUAAGCCUGCGAAGGUGUGCUGUGAGGCAUGCUGGAGGUAUCAGAAGUGCGAAUGCUGACAUAAGUAACGAUAAAGCGGGUGAAAAGCCCGCUCGCCGGAAGACCAAGGGUUCCUGUCCAACGUUAAUCGGGGCAGGGUGAGUCGACCCCUAAGGCGAGGCCGAAAGGCGUAGUCGAUGGGAAACAGGUUAAUAUUCCUGUACUUGGUGUUACUGCGAAGGGGGGACGGAGAAGGCUAUGUUAGCCGGGCGACGGUUGUCCCGGUUUAAGCAUGUAGGCUGGUUGUCCAGGCAAAUCCGGAUAAUCAAGGCUGAGGUGUGAUGACGAGGCACUACGGUGCUGAAGUAACAAAUGCCCUGCUUCCAGGAAAAGCCUCUAAGCAUCAGGUAACAUCAAAUCGUACCCCAAACCGACACAGGUGGUCAGGUAGAGAAUACCAAGGCGCUUGAGAGAACUCGGGUGAAGGAACUAGGCAAAAUGGUGCCGUAACUUCGGGAGAAGGCACGCUGGUGUGUAGGUGAAGUCCCUGCGGAUGGAGCUGAGACCAGUCGAAGAUACCAGCUGGCUGCAACUGUUUAUUAAAAACACAGCACUGUGCAAACACGAAAGUGGACGUAUACGGUGUGACGCCUGCCCGGUGCCGGAAGGUUAAUUGAUGGGGUUAUCCGUAAGGAGAAGCUCUUGAUCGAAGCCCCGGUAAACGGCGGCCGUAACUAUAACGGUCCUAAGGUAGCGAAAUUCCUUGUCGGGUAAGUUCCGACCUGCACGAAUGGCGUAAUGAUGGCCAGGCUGUCUCCACCCGAGACUCAGUGAAAUUGAACUCGCUGUGAAGAUGCAGUGUACCCGCGGCAAGACGGAAAGACCCCGUGAACCUUUACUAUAGCUUGACACUGAACAUUGAGCCUUGAUGUGUAGGAUAGGUGGGAGGCUUUGAAGCGUGGACGCCAGUCUGCGUGGAGCCAACCUUGAAAUACCACCCUUUAAUGUUUGAUGUUCUAACGUUGGCCCCUUACCGGGGUUGCGGACAGUGUCUGGUGGGUAGUUUGACUGGGGCGGGCUCCUCCCAAAGCGUAACGGAGGAGCACGAAGGUUAGCUAAUCCUGGUCGGACAUCAGGAGGUUAGUGCAAUGGCAUAAGCUAGCUUGACUGCGAGCGUGA